UCUCUCCUCUCACUCCCUGCGCCCUGCGCCUCCUCUCUCUCCCAACGUCUCUCUCUCUCUACUCCCUCGGUUCUGCCGGACUGUAGCCGCCGGAGAUGGCCAGCCACGCCUCCGGCGGAGUCGCCGACAACCUCUCCUCUCCUUCUUCUCCCUUGCUGCCCCUUUCUCGGUCAGCCGCUGCCCAUCUUACGCUCGGCCUUCAUCCGGCGACGAGCUGGUCCCACCAGCCGCCGCCUGCCACCGCCGCCGCCGCCGCUGCAUACACGGCGGUCUCACCGCCGUCGCCACCCACCGUCGAUCGAGAGAGUUGUAGAACCGGAUAGAUCGUGAAAAGAAGAUCGAAAAGAAAUCAAUUUUGUCGUCGCUCGCCGGAAAGUCGCCGGACAGCCGCCGGAGCGUCGUCGACGUCGCCGGGCAGAAUCUUCGGCUUGAGGAUCAUGAUUUGAAGAAAAAGGAUGGCAUCUAAAGAGUGUAGCUUUGGUUCUCCGAGAAGCCAUUAUUCUUCUUUGUAUAAAUAUAGAAACAUGUAGUAUUUUUCUCACUUGUAUAGAAGAGACUCUAUUAUGUAUAAAUAGACAUUCAAUAUAUACUUCUACUAUAAUUGUAUAUGGACAAUUAUUUCAUAA